UACGUAGGGACCGAGCGUUGUUCGGAAUUACUGGGCGUAAAGAGUGUGUAGGCGGUGCUCUAAGUUCGGUGUGAAAUCUCCUGGCUCAACUGGGAGGGUGCGCCGGAAACUGGAGUGCUUGAGCGUGGGAGAGGAAAGCGGAAUUCCUGGUGUAGCGGUGAAAUGCGUAGAUAUCAGGAGGAACACCUGUGGCGAAAGCGGCUCACUGGACCAUAAACUGACGCUGAUGCACGAAAGCUAGGGGAGCAAACAGG
rnacentral:rRNA from 1 species